UACGGGGGGAGCAAGCGUUGUUCGGAUUUACUGGGCGUAAAGGGCGCGUAGGCGGCUCGUCGAACAAGUCACUUGUGAAAUCUCCGGGCUUAACUCGGAACGGUCAAGUGAUACUGUCGGACUAGAGUACAGAAGGGGCAACUGGAAUUCUCGGUGUAGCGGUGAAAUGCGUAGAUAUCGAGAGGAACACCUGCGGCGAAGGCGGGUUGCUGGGCUGAUACUGACGCUGAGGCGCGAAAGCCAGGGGAGCGAACGGG
rnacentral:rRNA from 1 species